rnacentral:rRNA from 1 species
UACAGAGGGUGCGAGCGUUAAUCGGAAUUACUGGGCGUAAAGCGCGCGUAGGCGGCUUUGCAAGUCGGGUGUGAAAUCCCCAGGCUUAACCUGGGAACUGCAUUCGAGACUGCAUUGCUAGAGUAUGGGAGAGGGAAGUGGAAUUUCCGGUGUAGCGGUGAAAUGCGUAGAUAUCGGAAGGAACAUCAGUGGCGAAAGCGACUUCCUGGACCAAUACUGAC